GACGAACGCUGGCGGCGUGCUUAACACAUGCAAGUCGAACGAAGAGCGAUGGAAGCUUGCUUCUAUCAAUCUUAGUGGCGAACGGGUGAGUAACGCGUAAUCAACCUGCCCUUCAGAGGGGGACAACAGUUGGAAACGACUGCUAAUACCGCAUACGAUCUAACCUCGGCAUCGAGGAUGGAUGAAAGGUGGCCUCUAUUUAUAAGCUAUCACUGAAGGAGGGGAUUGCGUCUGAUUAGCUAGUUGGAGGGGUAACGGCCCACCAAGGCGAUGAUCAGUAGCCGGUCUGAGAGGAUGAACGGCCACAUUGGGACUGAGACACGGCCCAGACUCCUACGGGAGGCAGCAGUGGGGAAUCUUCCGCAAUGGACGAAAGUCUGACGGAGCAAACGCCGCGUGAGUGAAGACGGCCUUCCGGGUUG
rnacentral:rRNA from 1 species